rnacentral:rRNA from 1 species
AGUGAACGCUGGCGGUAGGCCUAACACAUGCAAGUCGAACGGCGGCACAGUAAGAGCUUGCUCUUACGGGUGGCGAGUGGCGGACGGGUGAGGAAUACAUCGGAAUCUACUUUUUCGUGGGGGAUAACGUAGGGAAACUUACGCUAAUACCGCAUACGACCUACGGGUGAAAGCAGGGGAUCUUCGGACCUUGCGCGAUUGAAUGAGCCGAUGUCGGAUUAGCUAGUUGGCGGGGUAAAGGCCCACCAAGGCGACGAUCCGUAGCUGGUCUGAGAGGAUGAUCAGCCACACUGGAACUGAGACACGGUCCAGACUCCUACGGGAGGCAGCAGUGGGGAAUAUUGGACAAUGGGCGCGAGCCUGAUCCAGCCAUACCGCGUGGGUGAAGAAGGCCUUCGGGUUGUAAAGCCCUUUUGUUGGGAAAGAAAAGCAGCAGGUUAAUACCCCGCUGUUCUGACGGUACCCAAAGAAUAAGCACCGGCUAACUUCGUG